ACCCGCACAAGCAGCGGAGCGUGUGGUUUAAUUCGUUGCUACACGAAGAACCUUACCUGGGUUUGACAUAUAGGUUGUAGGGAACUGAAAAGGGACCGACCCUUCGGGGAGCCUAUACAGGUGUUGCAUGGCUGUCGUCAGCUCGUGUCGUGAGAUGUUCGGUUAAGUCCGCUAACGAGCGCAACCCUCGUCGUAUGUUAUAUGUGUCAUACGAGACUGCCGAUAAAAGCCGGAGGAAGGUGAGGAUGAUGUCAAGUCAGCAUGACCUUUAUAUCCAGGGCUACACACACGCUACAAUGGUCUGUACAAUGGGUAGCCAAGCCGCGAGGCGGAGCCAAUCCUGAAAGCAGGCCUCAGUUCAGAUUGUAGGCUGCAACCCGCCUGCAUGAAGAUGGAGUUGCUAGUAACCGCAGGUCAGCUAUACUGCGGUGAAUACGUUCCCGGGGCUU
rnacentral:rRNA from 1 species